GGGCCACCAACGACAUUGAUAUGGUGCCC
rnacentral:misc_RNA from 1 species